rnacentral:rRNA from 1 species
GAUGAACGCUGGCGGCGUGCUUAACACAUGCAAGUCGAACGGUGAACGAGGGAGCUUGCUCCCUCCGGAUCAGUGGCGAACGGGUGAGUAACACGUGAGCAAUCUGCCCCGAACUCUGGGAUAAGCGCUGGAAACGGCGUCUAAUACCGGAUACGACGCGCGAAGGCAUCUUCUGCGCGUGGAAAGAAUUUCGGUUCGGGAUGAGCUCGCGGCCUAUCAGCUAGUUGGUGAGGUAACGGCUCACCAAGCCUACGACGGGUAGCCGGCCUGAGAGGGUGACCGGACACACUGGGACUGAGACACGGCCCAGACUCCUACGGGAGGCAGCAGUGGGGAAUAUUGCACAAUGGGCGCAAGCCUGAUGCAGCAACGCCGCGUGAGGGACGACGGCCUUCGGGUUGUAAACCUCUUUUAGCAGGGAGGAAGCGAAAGUGACGGUACCUGCAGAAAAAGCACCGGCUAACUACGUGCCAGCCGCCGCGGUAAAAC